rfam:Ornithorhynchus anatinus chromosome 2, whole genome shotgun sequence.
UCCCUCACAGGAUCACAUCUGGAGAGUCUAGUCCUCUACCAGCCUUGGCUACAGGAGGGAGAGUCAAGCAGAGGCACACCCAUUCCAUUCCUAGCUUGGGCAGUGGUUAAUGAGUGGAAGGCAAUUUGCUACAAUU